CUUGUUUCAUCAACUCCGUUGCCUCGGGGCUCUGGCAAAUUCCUAUCUUAAUCUUCAACCUCACCUGGAGACACACCCCAGUAUGUGGAGAUUUGCAGCAGAAACCUGAUACCAAGAGAAACACCAGAGGCUCAGAGGGUGGAACUGUUCAGGACUACAAAACAAGACCAUUUCAGGUCAAACCCCUGUCAGAUCCAAUGGAGGGGCUAGAAUUGCCCUUUCUGAUUCUUCCACUGAAACUUGCACUUUUGGGUUAA
rnacentral:lncRNA from 14 species